GAUGAACGCUGGCGGCGUGCCUAAUACAUGCAAGUCGAGCGAACAGACGAGGAGCUUGCUUCUUUGACGUUAGCGGCGGACGGGUGAGUAACACGUGGGUAACCUACCUAUAAGACUGGGAUAACUUCGGGAAGCCGGAGCUAAUACCGGAUAAUAUUUCGAACCGCAUGGUUCGAUAGUGAAAGAUGGCUUUGCUAUCACUUAUAGAUGGACCUGCGCUGUAUUAGCUAGUUGGUAAGGUAACGGCUUACCAAGGCAACGAUACGUAGCCGACCUGAGAGGGUGAUCGGCCACACUGGAACUGAGACACGGUCCAGACUCCUACGGGAGGCAGCAGUAGGGAAUCUUCCGCAAUGGGCGAAAGCCUGACGGAGCAACGCCGCGUGAGUGAUGAAGGUCUUCGGAUCGUAAAACUCUGUUAUUAGGGAAGAACAAACGUGUAAGUAACUGUGCACGUCUUGACGGUACCUAAUCAGAAAGCCACGGCUAACUACGUG
rnacentral:rRNA from 1 species